CUUAAUUGAUUCCCUGUUGCUGGUAGCGUGAAGGGACUUGAUGUGGGACCAGGAACGGUAGAGGGGGGGUUGGACGUGCUGGGUCAUAGCUGCAGCCUCAGCCCAAAAACUCUCCAUCACCAAAGCCAUUAUCUUAAGUUCCUCUCUAAGUUUUUUGUCUUAUACAGAGAACUCUUCCCUUGAACUCAGCCGUCCACCUUUUAAAGCAUGUCCACAAAAAUAAUAAGAAAACAGUAUCCAGUUCAGCAAAAAGGGACAAGUUGUGAGACGCUGUAAGGACACAGAGUCAAGGACAUAAUGCUCAGACAUAGAUAUUCAGAUUAUAUUAAAAGCCCCAGUGGGCGAUAUUCCACUGGAGUCAGUGGAAGUGGUGGUGGAUGAUUAGAAGUCUUGUGAGUUUACAAUCAGCCAAUUAAACGUUAAACAUUGAACCGUCCAAAACCGAUGCUCAAAAGGAACUUAAAGCAUCAUCAUUUUAGGCUUCCUCUAACACACUAAGGAAGCAUCGCUAUUUGACCAGUAAUAAGCAAGAAUAUGUUUCACCGUUUACAAACACAAACUGGGAUCGAUCUGAUAAAUACGACAUAAACCAGCUGAAUGUGGUUCCAUUUGUGUGGAAUAUUGCUAUAUUUCUUCAGCAGUAACAUAUAAACUGAUCCCAACACACAAAUCCAUAGAUUUUGCAGGUGCAGGAUAACAAAAGAAGCUAGAAUUCAAUAACGAGUUCCCAGUUGUUAAAUUCUAUAUCAGUACAAAAUCCUCCAGACUAAAUUGUAACUGGUGUUUUUAUGUUUUCUUAUCGAUGGUACCUUAACAAAGGAAUCCUAGAAAUGAACAGUUGAACCGUUAUGUGGACAUUCGCGUGCUAAUAAAGCUUCUGUGUGUCUUUUCUAGCAUGUGGACAUGUGGUCUUUUGAUGUGUUUGCACUGAACGAUGCUAGUGGGGACCACGCUCUGAAAUGUGUCUUCUAUGAGCUAUUCACCGGAUAUGACUUGAUCAACCGUUUCAAGGUAUGUUCAUUUUGACAAGACGCUGUGUAUGUAAUGAGCACAAUGUCAGCGACAGCAGAACUAAGUAUUGAUGGGAACGUACUGGGUUCAACAGAACAACUUCUCUGUAUUGCUUCUACAAUUCUGCAAAGCAACUGGUUGUUCCUUGUCUUCUGUUGAAGGUCCCGGUUUGUGCCCUCAUAUCC
ensembl:lncRNA